GGUGACGUAGCCAAGCUGGUCUAAGGCCGCGGUCUGCAAAACCGCUAUCACGGGUUCGAAUCCCGUCGUCACCU
rnacentral:tRNA from 1 species